CUGGAAACUAGGCAGCCCUGCACAUGUUGACGUGAAACCCCUCUUGGGAAUUUCCACUUCAUUUCUGCAGUUUCCUCAAGACUCCAAGUUAACUUUGAGUCCCACUGAAACGUCUUACAGCCCUGACAGCAAGCCCACCAAAAUCACAAAUACCGCUGCACAUUACUGAGAGGACAUUGGAGGCCAAAGCGACCCAGAGAACCACAUCUUCUCCCAGGCAGUGGCCUGAUCAGCAGAUGUCUUUGAGACCAACCGAUUUUUCUCAGGACAGCACGGGCCAUCUUCAGCAGGCAGGACUCGCUCCUAAAUCCUAUUGGCGAAGCGGAAGUUGUGCUGAGAAGUGUUUUGUCGAGAAGUUCUGCCGAGAAACAAAGCUGGGCUGUGCACCUCUGCAGAGUUUCUACCAAAGUACAUUGAUAGGUUCAGAGCGGAAGAGUGACUGCUUGCCAAGACUCUCUCAUUAAAAUAACUGGGAUAUGGAGGAGCAAAAUAAAUAAAUGUACAAGAACUUAGAAGCCAAAAAAAUGCACCGUUCACAGAUGACUCAAGGGGAGAAAACGCACAUGUAUAACGGCAAUUUUCAUGCCAAUGGAACAGAGUACCAACUAGUUUAGACUUACAGAGGUCUGGAGGGGUUGCAGCUUUUUGUGCAUAGAAAUAGGUAAUAGCACUGGACUAUACAACGUAUUUUCAAGGAAGGAGAUAAGCCCCAUAAAAGCAUAUUUGUGGCUUGCAGAGAAAAUAAUUCCCUCCAGGUGGUAGCAUCACUUUCUUCCAAUGAUCCAUAUUAUGAAAAGGUGAUGAACUGCAGUACACGUGGUAUCCAGAAAUAGCCUGACUGCCUUCCAGCAAAAUGUUAUUGCCCUGAUAAAACUAAUAAAAAUCCCAAUAGUGGUCUCCCCGCUGUAGAUUCUACCUCACACUUAAGGUGAAUGUACAUCCGAGGUUGUAGGAACAGCCAUCUGUUCAACCUACAUCAUGCCAGUAUUGAAGGGUAUUAAAUUACUCGGACAAUCUAAUUUCAGUAAUUUACGGAGCUGGUGGCCAUCAAUAAGAAAUGUGCUGGAGUAAACAUGAAAGAAAGAAGACGAUGCUAAGGUCAGCCAUGUGAUAUCCUCCUUCGUAAGGUGUAUGUGCUACAGUGCUCUUUGGUAUCUUGUACCUCUUUUAGCCGGGUGAUAAAUAUUUGAACCAAUCACUUUAUGUUGUUUUUUUCUGUGGAAAGCAAAAUCAAUCUUGAAGAUGGGCUUUGUUCUGGAGCCUACAUCCAAGUUGGCCUGCUUCUUACAUUUCAAACGAAUAAAAAUUUAAAGAC